ACUACUUAAUUUACCAAGGCUUUGACUGGAAUGACAUGCUCUCCUUUUAAGAAUCAAACUUGACUUAUAGAGCCAAUAAAAGCCCCUUGGGAAAAUUGUCCUCAUACAUUGUCUGCAUAGUCCCUGUACAGGGUUUCCAACCUGUGGUUCCUUUAAUUAACUCAGACCUGGAUGACAUGAAAUGAAGUUUCUGAAGAAGUUCAGGUCAAAGGUACCUGAAACACAAGGCUCAGUGUAUACCCUGGAUGGGAAAAUGAACUGGUGUUGGCAUAUAUGCAUGCCCAGGAGGAAGACUGGGAAAGACUUAAUGAGUUGGAGUAUGCAGAGAAACAAUGAAAUAUUGAAAACUGUCUAUAUAAAAAUCACUGUUGGGCAUAUGCAUUAAAAAACAUGUUAUUGCAAAUUUAACACUAAAAUUAUUUUCCCAAACAGAAGAUAUUGUCUAAGGAAGAAUAAAAUG